rnacentral:tRNA from 1 species
GUCUACAUAGAUUAAUUCAAAUCAUGAUGCUGUUAACUUCAAGAAGGGCUUUGCCUUGUAGUCG